CCUACGGGGGACAGCAGUGAGGAAUAUUGGUCAAUGGUCGGGAGACUGAACCAGCCAAGCCGCGUGAGGGAGGAAGGUACAGAGUAUCGUAAACCUCUUUUGUCAGGGAACAAAGACUGGGACGCGUCCCCGGAUGAGUGUACCUGACGAAAAAGCAUCGGCUAACUCCGUGCCAGCAGCCGCGCUAAUACGGAGGAUGCGCGCGUUAUACGGAUUUAUUGGGGUAAAGGGGUGCGCAGGCGGUCUGUUAAGUCGGCGGUAAAAGCCCGGGGCUCAACCCCGGAACGCCGUUGAAACUGGCAGUCUCGAGUUGGAGAGAGGAAUGCGGAAUGCGCGGUGUAGCGGUGAAAUGCAUAGAUAUCGCGCAGAACUCCGAUUGCGAAGGCAGCAUGCCGGCUCCACACUGACGCUGAGGCACGAAAGCGUGGGUAUCGAACAGGAUUAGAUACCCCUGUAGUC
rnacentral:rRNA from 1 species